GCUUAUACUCGACCGUCAGCGGCAGGUGCGAUCGCGCGAGCUUUCACGAGCGAGCGCGGUCACGAAGCCCUGACGARUAGGAGGGUCGCGGCGGUGAGCGCAGAAGGGCUGGCCGCGAGGCCGUCUGGAGCCGCCGUCGGUGCAGAUCUUGGUGGUAGUAGCAAAUACUCCAGCGAGGCCCUGGAGGACUGACGUGGAGAAGGGUUUCGUGUGAACAGCCGUUGCACACGAGUCAGUCGAUCCUAAGCCCUAGGCGAAAGCCGAUGUCGAUGCGGUGUAGUUUUUACGAUAAACAAUGUUUGUAUACACACACACACACACGAAAUUCGACUUCGACUACGACUAACUACUGCGACGAUUACGACGACGAAACAAACGUUAAUUCGUCGUCGUUUAACGUCUAGUUUAGUCUAGUCUCGUCGAAUCAUCGUCGUCGUCGUCGUGUAUGUUACACAGAUAACGAAAGAGCACACACCCGUCGGGCGAAAGGGAAUCCGGUUCCUAUUCCGGAACCUGGCAGCGGAACCGUCAAAAAGUCGGGC
rnacentral:rRNA from 1 species